rnacentral:rRNA from 1 species
CCUACGGGUGGCAGCAGUGGGGAAUAUUGGGCAAUGGGCGCAAGCCUGACCCAGCAACGCCGCGUGAAGGAAGAAGGCCCUCGGGUUGUAAACUCCUUUUAUCAGGGACGCAGCAAGUGACGGUACCUGAUGAAUAAGCCACGGCUAACUACGUGCCAGGAGCCGCGGUAAUACGUAGGUGGCAAGCGUUAUCAGGAUUUACUGGGUGUAAAGGUCGUGUAGGCGGGAAAGCACGUCAGAAGUGAAAACCAUGGGCUCAACCUGUGGCCUGCAUUUGAAACUGUGUGGCUUGAGUACUGGAGAGGCAGACGGAAUGCCUGGUGUAGCGGUGAAAUGCGUAGAUAUUAGGAGGAACACCAGUGGCGAAGGCGGUCUGCUGGACAGCAACUGACGCUGAGGCGCGAAAGCGUGGGGAGCAAACAGGAUUAGAUACCCGUGUAGUC